rnacentral:rRNA from 1 species
AGACGUAGGGGGCAAGCGUUACCCGGAGUCACUGGGCGUAAAGGGAGCGUAGGCGGUUAUGCAGGUCAUACGUUAAAGCAUUCGGCUCAACCGAAGAGAUGCGUAUGAAACCGUAUAACUUGAGGAUAUCAGAGGAAAAGGGAAUUACCAUUGUAGGGGUGAAAUCCGUAGAGAGUGGUAAGAAUGCCGGUGGCGAAGGCGCCUUUCCGGGGUAUACCUGACGCUGAGGCUCGAAAGCCAGGGGAGCGAACCGGAUUAGAUACCCGGGUAGUCCUGGCCGUAAACGAUGUUCACUAGGUGUAGGAUGUCGACAGGCAAACUGUGCUGAAGCAAACGCGAUAAGUGAACCGCCUGGGGAGUACGUCCGCAAGGAUGAA